ensembl:lncRNA
CGGCACGCCCUACGACCCGCCCUCCCCGCUCCGGAGAAGGGAAGCCAGGGUGCAGAAACCAGCGAGCGACGCGCGCGCAGCUUCCCUGGUUCCUCCCUCGUUCUUCCUAGCGCUGUGAGCGCGGGCCCCGCCUCCUCAGCCAUCCAAUCGGCUCUCGGCCUCACCCCACCCUCCUCCCGCUUCCGCCGUCGCUACGUGCGUCAGUUUUACCCAUCCGUGUCUUUUUCAGGUUACUGCCGCUGGCUGUGGAACUCCUAGCCUUACGCACAUUUUUUUCCCCCUCAGAAUUCAGUCUUCCACCCCCUCUGUGUCACGGGGACCAGUUGCUGUGUUUUAAGAUCCAGCGGAUGAUGAAAUUCACCUGAGACCACAUAGCCAGGGAAGGCCAAAAAGAAAGAAAGUGAAGUCACUCAGUCAUGUCCAACUCUGGGAGCCCGUGGACUGUCUCUUCUGUUCAUGAGAUUCUCCAGGCAAGAGUACUGGAGUGGAUUGCCGUUUACUUCUCCAGAGGAUCUUCCCAAUCCAGGGAUCAAACCCUGGUCUCCCACAUUGCAGGCAGAUGCUUUACCCUCUGACCCACCAGGGAAGUCCGGAGAAGGCCAAACUGAAUUUUGAAUCUAGUCAGUCUUGACCCCAGAGCCCUCCAGCCUGAAGCCAUGUCAGGAAGGAUCUUAGUUCCUCAACCUAGGAUUGAACCUGUGCCCCCUGCAUUGGGAGCAAAGAGUCUUAACCACUGAACCAUCAAGGAAGUCCCUGGUAAUUGUUUUAUACUACUCUUGGCCACCACUGGCCACCCAACAAUAGGACAACUAAUCUUAAAGGUGGAAUCAAAUGGAUGUUGACAGACCAUCACCAUAUUCACUAUAAUAAACACAAUUUUGUAAUGGAGGGUCUGCUAAGAUAUAGCAUAAAAAAAAUACAA